rnacentral:tRNA from 1 species
ACUAUUUUGGCAGAAUAUGCGUUAGAUUUAGGAUCUAUUUAUGUAAUAUGUUACAAGUAGUA